GUCGCCCCCGGACUCCACCGGGGUCACGGUCCCUCGGUUUCACCUUCGCCAGCUACGCCAUGAACUGGGUGCGCCAGAGCCCCGGGAAGGGGCUGGAAUGGGUCGCUGGGAUCAACUACAAUGGUGGUUACACCGUCUACGCGCCGUCGGUGAAGGGUCGGUUCACCAUCACCAGGGACGACGGGCAGGGCACGGUGACGCUGCAGAUGAACGACCUCAAGGAGGAGGAUUCCGCCACCUAUUUCUGCGCCAAACGUGCUAAUGCUGGCGGUUAUGGUGGUGCUCAUGGUAUCGACGCCCUUGGCGGGGUCCCCUCAUGUCCCCAGACCCUCCCCCAAAACCUCCACCCUUCGCACCCAGCUCUCGGUCGUCGGUCCCGACCUCGGGGUGGUUUUGCCCCCAGUUCUCAACCUUUGGCCCCAAACCCCAACUCUCUGCCCCAAAUCUCAGUCGUUCACCCCAACGUUCAACUGUUGAUUGGAAAUCUCAACCGUUGA